rfam:[Clostridium] litorale DSM 5388 strain W6 CLIT_18c, whole genome shotgun sequence.
GGUCCGGUAGUUCAGUUGGUUAGAAUGCCAGCCUGUCACGCUGGAGGUCGAGGGUUCGAGUCCCUUCCGGAUCG